CAUAAAGGCAUAAGCUUUGGAGUCAGGCAAACCUGGAUUUAUGUGCAGAUAGAAAUGUAUCUCUUCUACAUUAACAAAGUCAAGCUAGCUCAAGCUGGGACUACUCACACAAAUAGGCGAGACUGAACUCAACAUUUUACAGGUACCCGGGCGCUCUGCCCACACUCAGCCCUGAAGAAAUGCCGUGAGCUCUGUGGAUGCCUGUCCCUCAGCCGGAGGGUCUCAUCCUCUGUGUCAUUAAAAACAGAGACACCACACACGCUAAGGUGGCGUUUAUUCACAUGCACUUCUGUUGACCUCUCUCCCUUCAUCUCCACGCUUCACCCAAAGUGCAUUUCUAGAAAAUAUCUGAAGAGGCUUUAAGACAGGUAAAAAAACAGGUAUGAAGAAUACUGACAGGUAGAGUAUCCAAAAGGAAAAAUGGAUAUAGUAGAAAUUAAACGCUUAAGUUGUAAAGGCAAGAGGAAGGAAAUCACCAUCAGCUAGAUAAGGCGGUGAGUGAUGGUUACACAAUUCUCCGGCUGCACAUCAAAAGUAAAACC